GCGGGUGUAAUUCAGUGGUAGAAUGCUUCCUUGCCAAGGAAGAUGUCACGGGUUCGAGCCCCGUCGCCCGCU
rnacentral:tRNA from 1 species